AUACGGAGGGUCCAAGCGUUAUCCGGAUUUAUUGGGUUUAAAGGGUCCGUAGGCGGGAUUUUAAGUCAGUGGUGAAAGCCUGUAGCUUAACUACAGAAUUGCCAUUGAUACUGAAGUUCUUGAAUCUAGUUGAAGUAGGCGGAAUAGGUCAUGUAGCGGUGAAAUGCAUAGAGAUGACCUAGAACACCGAUUGCGAAGGCAGCUUACUAAGUUAGUAUUGACGCUGAGGGACGAAAGCGUGGGGAGCGAACAGGAGUAGAAACCCCUGUAGUCC
rnacentral:rRNA from 1 species